rnacentral:rRNA from 1 species
UACGGAGGAUCCAAGCGUUUAUCCGGAAUCAUUGGGUUUAAAGGGUCCGUAGGCGGUUUAAUAAGUCAGUGGUGAAAGCCCAUCGCUCAACGGUGGAACGGCCAUUGAUACUGUUAAACUUGAAUUAUUAGGAAGUAACUAGAAUAUGUAGUGUAGCGGUGAAAUGCUUAGAGAUUACAUGGAAUACCAAUUGCGAAGGCAGGUUACUACUAAUGGAUUGACGCUGAUGGACGAAAGCGUGGGUAGCGAACAGG